rnacentral:tRNA from 1 species
GCGGGCGUAACAUAAUGGGAAUGCACCGGGUUUCCAACCCGGUUAUGGGGGUUCGAUUCCUCCCGCCCGCUCCA